UGUGUGUGUGUGUGUGUGUGUGUGUGUGUGUGUGUGAGAGAUAUGGAGAGCUGUUUUUAGGAAUACCAAACAAAGACGAAGAGGGAGGCUGGAUCCAGGCUGCAUCCGUCUCGGGACCGGAGAGGCACCCAGCGGUAGCCUGGAGGUGCAGAAGGCUGGUGAAGGGCAGGGUGUACUGGCCCACAAAUUCACUGCUGAGGAGGCCGGUCUGCUCUCGGACACAGAAGCGGAUGAGGCAGAGCUCAGGGACGCUGAUGCUGAAGUUCAUGUCAGCAUCCCAGUGAGGACUCAGAGCUGUAAUGGCCCUCUCCGACUCACCGAGCUGUGAGCCAACAUUCCAAAACUCCUGAGGGUUGUAGUUGGAAGAAGACGUCCUCGAGCCUGCUGGGUAAAUCCUGCUGAGGAACUUCUGGUUGUGCUGAACAAAGUCUGCACCUGAGUGAGAAAACGCACAACACUUACAGAACUUUGCUUUGGUUUGCUGAUCCUCAUCCUCCUCAUCAUCCUCCUCAUCAUCCUCUCCCUCAUCUACACUCUCCUCUGCCUGUGUCCCUGCUGCAUCCUCCGUCUUAAUGGGAGGCUUUAUCUUUUUAUUCUUGAUGAGGAUCUUAUACUUCAGGUCCUGGCAUCCCCACAAAUACACAUAUACAGUAUGAAUUCACACAUGCAACGUGCAAACAUGCAAAGGUAACCUUAAUCAUGGGAACCUAUAUUCGCUUCGCACCAUCACACAGUUGUAUCAGUCAGUCAACUUAAACUUAGGAAACAAACCAUCAAAUCAAAACAUUUGAUUUGCACAAACCACCCCCUCUCAGAUUUGUCAGAAAGAUGCUGAGUCACUCAGUAGCCUCAUCCACAUCAGUGCAUACACACAGCCAAGUUUGGUAGGAUAAAGGAGCAGAAAGCAGCAGGUGUACUGAAUCACUGAAUCACACAUAUGUUGCUACAUUUCACCGCCCUGGCUCCAAAAUCUGUUUGUACUAGGUAUCUUUAUGCAGAUGAGCAGCAAUAUGCUUAAAGUAAAAAAAAACAACAACAUUAUGGUAUGGACUUGAAAGCAGUUAAAUGGUAAGCCACAUGGCAGAAAGUCACUAUGUCAGCUUCACUGUCUGCACAAGCAAAAUAUGCAAAAUAAUUAUAGAUCUGCUAACAUUAACAACCCAUAAGAGUCCAUAUAGUAUGAAAAUUAUAAGCUUCAGCGCUUCCUUUGGCACUGCACUCUUUAAUUUUUGUAUGUACUUUUGUAAUUUAGGAUAUCAUUUUACCCAUGUUUAUGGUAAAAAUAGAAUAAAGUAGAUGUAAAACCUUUAAUCUAAGUGGUCAGAGUAGAGUAUAAGGUGAUGAACAGUUCUGAGAAUCGCACAUUGGUUACACUUGCAUAAUUGGAUGGUAACUUGGGUGUAAAGCUGCUUGAAUGUGACACACGAACACUGAUUCAGUGUUCAAGUUGCUGGGGGUUAAAUAGUCAAGAUGAAACCAUUAGUGCUGAGGCUCCUAUCUAAGCCCCCUCUUCCUGAGUCAUAAAUAUAAAGAACGAUAUGGGGAAGAAAAUCUUAUAUGCACACUCAGGAUAAAACACAACUCAUGUCUUGCAGUAAAUCCCAAAGCAGUAGAAGUCAGAGGCAGCAAAGAAACCUUCAUCCUCCUCGUGAUAUUCAAUAGACUGGAGCGACUGUGCCGGCAUCUUUCAGGCCAGUCGCUCAGUCAUGGGUUGAAGCAGAUGCUUUCAUUGGAGAGUCCAGAAUCCAAACAGGGUAAUCUAAAUUAACUAUCAGCUCAAGUGCCUCAGCGUGCUUAAAAUGAUGGACACUUCACAGGAUCAACCACAUCACAUUUGAUUUUGCAAAUCUCUGAGAGACUAAAGAGGCUUGUCCAUUAACCCCUGCAUCCCAGUGGAGGAGAGAGGCAAAGGGAGCCUCAGAAAGAAACUAAUGAGGCCCUCCGUGAUGACCAAAAGGUCUUAUUUUCUCGUUGUUUUUCUUUGCUAUGGCAGGCGAUGAGGACUUAUACAUACAAACACUAUCAUGCCUCUACCUGCACCAGCAGCUCUAACAUUCAACACAGAUUCUUCUUCUGAUUUACACCGGAGAUAGUCAAGCUCUCUCCUUUCUGAGUCUUACAUUUGGGCUUGGGAGGUCUCCAGUAGUUGGGUGAUCCAAGGGAGUUCUCAGCAGCUUUUCCCCCAAGAUUGAGAUGAGGUACUGGGCCAUGACCUCCUGCUGCUCCUUGGAGCAAUGGUUUUCUAAUGACAGGAUCACCGGGCUCUUAAUUCUCCCGACACAUCACAGAAAAUGGCCUGGAUCAAAGACAACUUGCAUGCAAAGCAUUGCGAUCAGAGAUGCUAUUAAUUAGAGCAAAUGCAGCUAAGCAGGGACUCCUGGAGGCUACAGAGUCAGGAGUGAACACUGAGUUAGAUGCCUGGAGCACCACUCCGGGAAAUGUGUGUCAUGUAACAUACUAUAAGCUGUUACCUCGAAGGCAUGUUGCUCCACAGUGGUGAUGACGUCCUUAAAGAAUAUCUUGGUGGUCAGGGUGUAGCCAUGGUAGACUACAGGCUCCAUAUCUGGCCCAUCCCAGCAGUCAAUCUCCAGACAGCGACAGCCUUUCCUCAGAGCACUGUGCCACACAAAUACACACAUAAGCGCAUGCAUGCAUACAGAGACACAUGCAAACACACUGAGCUGUGGCACGUGAGAAAUUACAAGUGAAGCAUUGAGGCACAAACUGAGUGAUUCCCUUUCCACGCACAAGUUCAUCUCAACGACUCCCAUACAUGUGAAAAAUGACUGUAUUAUUAUAUAUAAUGUAUAUAAUACAUGCUAAUAAUUUACAGCCAGUGGUGGAA